GAGACCACAAAAUGGCUGCCGGCGGCUUCGUCACGUGACCCCUUUGUGCCUUUCGGGCCCCCGAACUCCGCGGGACCCAGGUCGGGCAGAUCCUCACAGCGGAAGACCGGCAGCGGCUUCGAGGCGUCCAGCGCCCGCGCCCGAAACGACAGUUUACUCAUCUCAGGCGCAGCAGAUACCUCUCCGCUCUGGGGAAACGGCCCCGGCCAGCGGGAUCAUGGAGAACCGGAGUUUCGGUCUCCACUCGCCUGCCGCUGCCGGGGACUUGGGGGCGGAGCGCAAAGCCCGCCGUCCGGGCCCUGACACCAGCCGGGAGGGUGGGAGGCUGUGCCGCUCCGCGCCUCGCUCACUCGCUCUCUUCAAUACGCCAUGGCCAACAUGGCGGACAUUAAAACUCCACUGUGCGCUCUUCAGCCAACCCCAGCCAUUCCCCACACUGCAUCGCGCAGCGACGCGGGCACGCGCGGGGGGAGCGCGGGCUCGAGCGGGCGCCGGCGCGGCGCGGCAUGGAGCGCGCGUCCCGCCAACCCCCGGCCCGCCGGCCGCCGGCCGCCGGCCUCGCCCGCCCGCUCCGCCCGGCCGCCUCGCUUCCCGCCCUGCGCGGUGCUCAAGCGAGGGAGCGACGAGCUCGGCGCCCGCGCGGGCCCUGGGAAGCCCGGCGCGUAGAGCGGCUGCGA
rnacentral:lncRNA from 1 species